CAGCAUCCUCUGAUAGACCAUGAGCAAAUUUUCCUGUUGCUCUCUGGUUUGCACUGAGAUGCAAAAAUAACUUCCUUGCGCUUUCUGCCUGCCUGCUUGUGGCAGUUCAGAUUGAAUUAGGGAAUACAAAG
ensembl:snoRNA